UUCCAAAACCACUUACUAUACUAAGUAUAUAUACAUAAAUUCCUAUUUUUUACAUUACAUUACAUAUACAAAUAUAUAACAAAGGGAAGGAUGGGUUAUAUUUACCUAGGGAGACUAUGAGGUCAUGCAACUGGGGUUAGAUAAAAACAAGCCAGGGCGACCCUCAAGUUUUCUCCUGUCUCUAUAUUGAUGACAUAGUUUUCACAUCCAGUAAUAUUAAUCCACACUCUUAUCAAUGUUGGAAAAUUUUGGUCACCAGCCUCACAAGCUUUCUCACUCGGGUGCGCAGGCUCUCUCAGUCUUUCAGACACCCACCUCUCAGGCACUACCUCACAGGCACUCUGGUCUCCCUGACACUCUAGACUCACUCACACACCUGUCAGGUACACAGCAACCUCUCAGGCACUUCCUAACACUCCCCAGAUGCACCAGACGCUCCCUGACUCUGAGACUCGCUAGAACGGAACCUUACUUGGCUCCUUUGCUGGAAUUUAAACCUGGAUCCCUAUUAUAAGGAUGUCCUCCUUUGUGUAUGAAACCAUGUUCUUCAUUACUGAGCAAUGUUCCACACUCACAGGUUUACAAUGCCUAUAUGGACCAUGCAACAUUGAAUGCCUACCCUGAGCUCCACGAAGAGGUUUCCCUCAUUUCACUGGGAAUGGGUCUCACUGUGAUUAUGAAAUUAUUGACUCAUCCUGCCUUACAAGCUGAACUGCAAAGACUUAGAACUUCGGGAGAGAAUGGCAAACUUGAGAUUCAACACAACAACCAGGAGAUCUCUAAGCUGGCAGCUACAGUUAAAAACACAGGCCAUCAUUCCUGGUGGAAGCUUUUGCUUGGGUGGAGCUCCAGUGCAACAAAUCUUUCAAAUAUCAUGCUUUACCCCAUUGUGGUGAUCAUAGGUUUCCAAAUUAUACUAGCAAUUGGUCUGGUUCUGCUGGGUUGCUGAAUCAAGUGACUGAUGCGGUGACUGCAAUGGAUUGAAGAUCAGACCCUGUACCAUGGAGUAAGGAUGUGAUGGGGAUACUCACUCAAUGCAAGCACCCCAUCAAUGGGGGGACUUGUUACUUCUCAGCUCUGUGUUCUUGGGGAACCCUGGCACAGGACGCAGCCUGUCUGACUCACAAAGAACUCUCCCCCUCCCCACCUCUGCCUGAACUGAUUAGAAGGACUUACAAAAGACAAGGAAGAUGCAAUGCGAGACACACCUAAAGCCCUCCAGAAAAGGGUAACAAGAAUGAAGCAACUCCCCUGGUCGCAUUUGCAUCUGCAAUGGUACCAGAUGACAACUCAUUUAAAUGGGAGAUGGAACAGGCAUGCACCUUCAUUAGCAUUCAGGAUGGAGAACAGAGAUUCCAAGGCAAGGACAGCACUGAAUUCUGGGAUAAGAAAAGCAAGGGAGCACUGCAUGAUGGGGAAUCCUUGCUCCAAAUGCUAAUCAACCCAUAUCUACACACACCCAGCUCAGCAUUUAUUAGACCAAUUAUGCUAGUAAUGACUCUGUUGGUAUCCAGAACACUGAAUCUGCCUGUCUGUAUUGGGAGCUCCCUCAGAGUAAUGCCAUCCAUGGCCAGGAGUGAUCAGUUCCUAUUAUCUAGCAUAUGAGCCAUUGUUUACCUCUAAACAAAACUAGUGUUCUCCCAUGAGCCAUUAUUAGUUCCCCUCUACAAAAAACCCUACCCAAGUCACAUAGUCCCCUCAGGGGGCAAGCAGGUAGGGAAAGGCAAGUCUUGACUGUACUUCCUCUAUUCACUAGCUAGAGCAGUAGCCUAUGAUUUGGAAAGAGCUGCACUUUGCUUCAGCGACAACAGGGUGCCUCAGUAGGCACCCUUAGAUACAGCACCACUUGUACUCUCUUGAGGUGGUGCAGGUUGGAAACUUUCUUUGGGCUACAUGAUAAAGGUUCUUAGGACCAGAUACCUAGCUGCUAUAUUUCACCUUACCCAAUUGUUAUAUAAAUAUUAUAAUACUUACCUGCCCCAGAGGGAUGUUGUGUAAUCAGUUAUCUAAUAAAUACUUGUAAAGUACUUCA
rnacentral:lncRNA from 1 species